rnacentral:lncRNA from 1 species
UCCAGAGUUAUACGGUUAACUGUUUGUGAGUUAAAAAAACAUACCGACAAAUUUAUUUUGUAAAGGUAGAUAACUCCUAUAAAAUUUCAUCGAAUCGCUUCGAUCCAAAUUAGCCAAAAAUUUCUGAGGAUGUAACGAACAAUUUGUAAAAAGAAAUUUUGUCGCUAUCUUUUUUUGUUACAAAGGAGAUGCACACAGAGGUUAAACAGUGAAAAGGGAGAUAACUCUUACAUAGAAAAUGGAUCGGCUUAGCAGGGUGAAAUUUAAAAGCGCAUAAACUAUACGAUACCAUAUGGGAAAUAUUUAAGCGACAUAUUGCGAAACAAACAUUUUGAUCAAGAACAAAAUUUGGCGGAAGAAAAAAAAAAUAAUAAUAAUAAUAAUAAUAAUUAAAAACCAAUUGUUCAGAGAACAAUUGAAAGUCUUUCCACACCAAAGUAAUUUGGAUAAGAAGGUAGUUUCUUUAUACUGAUGCGAAAAAUAAUGGUUUAAUUAUCUUUUUGAGUGAUAUAAGGGAAAUAAUAUGCUACUUCCGGUGAAAUGAAUGUCACAUCCGGUCUCAUAUGAUAGCUUCUUUCACACUGAUUCCAAAAAUAUAUAGUUUCUAUAUACUUUUGUAUGUAGAAUGGGAGAUAAUUGGCCACUUCCGGUUUGUUGGAAGUUAUUUUUAGUCUUCAGUAAUCUGUUCAUGUAUCUAUAUGACAAAUAAUAUGGAUUCUGAGUACUUUUAUGUGAAAAAAUUGCAAAAAAAACUACUUCCGGUUUCCUAAAGGUCACUUCCGGUAGCCAUUUUUAAGGUCAUUUGUCACUUAACCUUUUGUAUAAGGUCAAAUGUCUUUAUAAUGAACUUAAUUGAAGUUAUAAUCAAAUAACUUCAUAUCAAGACAUUUCAGGGGCAC